GGCCUUGAUACGAGACAUAAAAUAGU
rnacentral:piRNA from 1 species